GAUGAACGCUGGCGGCGUGCCUAAUACAUGCAAGUCGAGCGAACAGACGAGGAGCUUGCUCCUCUGACGUUAGCGGCGGACGGGUGAGUAACACGUGGAUAACCUACCUAUCAGAGUGGGAUAACUUCGGGAAACCGGAGCUAAUACCGGAUAAUAUAUUGAACCGCAUGGUUGAAUAGUGAAAGUCGGUUUUGCUGUCUCUUAUCGAUGGAUCCGCGCCGCAUUAUCUGGUUGUUAAGGUAACGGCUUACCACGGCGACGAUGCGUAGCCGAGCUGAGAGGGUGAUCGGCCCCACUGGAACUGAGAGACGGUCCAGACUCCUACGGGAGGCAGAAGCAGGGACUCUACGCAACAGGGCGAAAGCCUGACGAAGCAACGCCGCGUGGAUGAUGAAGGUCUUCGGGUGGGAAAACUCUGUUAUUAGGGAAGAACAAAUGUAUAAGUAACUAUGCACGUCUUGACGGUACCUAAUCAGAAAGCCACGGCUAACUACGUG
rnacentral:rRNA from 1 species